AGUCUAAGGGGGUGGAUUUGGUCUGCUCUAGGGGGUGGGUGGGGGACAGACGCUGCUGGGAUCUCUGGGUGGGGCCGAGUUAACCCCACACUCCACCCUCCCCUACUCCCCAGCCCUGUGCCCAGCAGGCAGGGGUGUGGCCCUGGUCUCCUGAGAGCCUCCAUUGAGGUUUAGAGUGGUGCAGUGGCAGGGCCUUCGCUAAUUCCUGCCAGCAGGGGGCGGCAACGCCAUUUCAGUCAGAAGGGAGGUUGGCUCAGGCCCAGGGCACUUUCAAGGGGUGAGGAUGUAGCGCCCAGGGUGCUGGGAGCCGCCCUCUUCACAUCCCAGUCCUGUGAGGAAACCUCUGCAGACUCCUCCAAACUGCCUUGUACGUCAUGUUCACCUCCAAAGACAGAGAGUGAAAGAAACCACAGCAUUGAAGAUUCCUUGAAUGGGAUGGGGGCCAGGCUUGAAGCUGGAUCAAACACAUGGCAAAGCAGUACACUAUCCAAUAAAAUAAAUAAAGUUAAAAAAGAAGGAGUAUGAGGAGAAGGACAUACAUAGGUCAGGAGGCAGUACAGUGGAUAAAGCACUGGACUCUCAAGCAUGAAGUCCAAAGUAUGAUCCUGCUAUCCUAAUGCCAGAGUGAUGUCCCAGUUCUUUAUCAUCCUUGCUUAUGUAAACAAACAAAUAAAUAAAUAAACAAAUAAACAACCAGUGCUGGUGAGGUGGUGGAGUGGUGGAGAGAAUGGAACCCUGUAUGCUUGAUAGAGAUGUAAAUUGGUUCAGCUACUCUGGAAAACAGUAUGGAGGUUUGUAAAAAUAAAUAAAUAAAUAAAUAAAAACUACCAGUUGAUCCAGCAAUCCCACUCCUAGAUAUUGAUUCUAAGAACACACACACAAAAAAACUUACCCCCCAAACUAGCUGCACCUCCAUGUUCAUGGCAGCACUACUAUAAUAGACAAGAGGUGGACGCAGUAAAGCCAGUGGGUAGGUGAGAGGAUGGAGAAGUUGUGGUGUAAGCACACAGUGGGAUUCUCUUUAGCUGUGAGGAAAGAUUCAGCUUUGCUUUUUAUUACUAUGUGGAUGAAUCUCCAGGGGAAUAGACAAAGAAG